rnacentral:rRNA from 1 species
GUCCACGCCGUAAACGAUGUUCACUAGGUGUUGGGGGUAUUGACCCCCUCAGUGCCGGAGCUAACGCAUUAAGUGAACCGCCUGGGGAGUACGGUCGCAAGACUAAAACUCAAAGGAAUUGACGGGGGCCCGCACAAGCGGUGGAGCAUGUGGUUUAAUUCGAUGCAACGCGAAGAACCUUACCUGGGCUUGACAUCCCGGGAAUCCCCUGGAAACAGGGGAGUGCCCUUCGGGGAACCCGGAGACAGGUGCUGCAUGGCUGUCGU